rnacentral:tRNA from 1 species
GGGAAUGUGGCUUAAUGGUAGAGUGCUUGCCUCACAUGCACGAAGUCCUGAGUUCAAUUCCUCAGUGCCA